AUUGAACGCUGGCGGCAUGCCUUACACAUGCAAGUCGAACGGUAACGGGCCUUCGGGUGCCGACGAGUGGCGAACGGGUGAGUAAUGCAUCGGAACGUACCCAUCAGUGGGGGAUAACUCUCCGAAAGGAGGGCUAAUACCGCAUAUUCUGUGCGCAGGAAAGCGGGGGACCGCAAGGCCUCGCGCUGAUGGAGCGGCCGAUGUCAGAUUAGCUAGUUGGUGGGGUAAAGGCCUACCAAGGGGACGAUAUGUAGCGGGUCUGAGGGGAUGAUCCGCCACACUGGGACUGAGACACGGCCCAGACUCCUACGGGAGGCAGCAGUGGGGAAUUUUGACAAUGGGGGCAACCCUGAUCCAGCAAUGCCGCGUGUGUGAAGAAGGCCUUCGGGUUGUAAAGCACUUUUGUCCGGAAAGAAAUGGCUCUGGUUAAUACCUGGGGUCGAUGACGGUACCGGAAGAAUAAGGACCGGCUAACUACGUGCCAGCAGCCGCCGUAA
rnacentral:rRNA from 1 species